rnacentral:rRNA from 1 species
UACGUAGGGUGCGAGCGUUGCCCGGAUUUAUUGGGCGUAAAGGGCGCGUAGGCGGCCACGCACGUCCGUUGUGAAAUCGCCCGGCUCAACUGGGCGGGGUCGGCGGAUACGGCGUGGCUGGAGCAAGCUAGGGGGCAAUGGAAUUCCCGGUGUAGUGGUGGAAUGCGUAGAUAUCUGGAGGAAUACCGGUGGCGAAGGCGGCAUCCUGGACCGACAUUGACGCUGAGGAGCGAAAGCUAGGGGAGCAAACGGGG